rnacentral:rRNA from 1 species
UGUGGUUGCUAUAGAGUAGAGGAUCCACCUGUUCCCAUUCCGAACACAGAAGUUAAGCUCUACAUCGCCGAUGAUACUUGGAGGGAAGCCUCCCGGGAAAGUAGGUCGCAGCCAACC